AGUGAACGCUGGCGGUAGGCCUAACACAUGCAAGUCGAACGGCAGCACAGUAAGAGCUUGCUCUUACGGGUGGCGAGUGGCGGACGGGUGAAGAAUACAUCGGAAUCUACUUUUUCGUGGGGGAUAACGUAGGGAAACUUACGCUAAUACCGCAUACGACCUACGGGUGAAAGCAGGGGAUCUUCGGACCUUGCGCGAUUGAAUGAGCCGAUGUCGGAUUAGCUAGUUGGCGGGGUAAAGGCCCACCAAGGCGACGAUCCGUAGCUGGUCUGAGAGGAUGAUCAGCCACACUGGAACUGAGACACGGUCCAGACGCCUACGGGAGGCAGCAGUGGGGAAUAUUGGACAAUGGGCGCAAGCCUGAUCCAGCCAUACCGCGUGGGUGAAGAAGGCCUUCGGGUUGUAAAGCCCUUUUGUUGGGAAAGAAAAGCAGCAGGUUAAUACCCCGCUGUUCUGACGGUACCCAAAGAAUAAGCACCGGCUAACUUCGUG
rnacentral:rRNA from 1 species